GGUCGGAAUUGACUCGGCGUAGCCCGGAAGUCCCGCCUCAUGGACGCGCGCGUAUUGACGCAAUCUGGCAAGGGCCCAAUGAGAAACGCUGCUGCGCUCGAAGGGGUUUCGAAGGUCGUCCGAGCCUCAGCCACAGAGGCUUCAGUUUGGGACUGACGUUGUGAGACUCUCCUGCUGAAGGAUCUCUGCAGGACAGACCCUCCAGGCCGUCUUGGAGUUUGAAUUGGACAUUGUCUCUGAGUAAUCUCUCAUCCUGCUAUGGUGAGCCACAGUCCUGAACUGCAACACUUUGUGAACAAUAGACAUUGAUAGAUGUUUAACUAUGAAACUAGUUCAGUUUAGCUCUCUUACUCCUCUGAGCUUUCUUGAAAGACUGGUUAUGAGACGUUACGUUGGGAAACAUUUGAAGGGAGAAUUUCAGCAUUUUACAAUCAGCCUUGGUAAUUUAUUUAUACUUACUAGGUGCAAAGGUUUCCCAUCCUGUGCAUUUAUUGUGCUGAGCAGGAUAACUGCUUAUGUUUAUGCACAUGUGGCAUGAGAGAAUAUUUAGGAAGUCUCAAGUGUCAAAGAAACAGACUACAUGAGAAAGAAGAAUAAAGAUUGUUUUUCUCAUCACCUCAUAAAAUGUUUGGCCAGGCAUGGUGGCACACACCUGUAAUCCAAGAAGGCAGGUGGAUAGCGAUGAGUUUAUGGCCAGCCUAAACUACAAAGUGAGUUCAAGACCAGCCUGAACUGCGUAGUGAAACCCUGUCUUAAAAGACAAGAACAAACAAAAUUGUUAUGGAUGUUAUCUCUUCAUAAAAAUAAUUGUAAAGGUUUGAUUUCCUGAAAUAUAAAGUAACAACAGAUACAUUUUAUCGUCUGUGGUCAUAUCAAAACAGAAAUAUAGCCAUAACUGAGUAAGUUUGAUUAAUGUCCCCAUCAUAUUUUCAAAAGGACCAAAACUAGAAGAAAAAAUGACAAACAGCAAGGUAAAGAAAAUUCAAAACAUUAUGAUAAUGUGAAUAGAUUUAACCAAGUAGAUGAAGAAAAUACUUAAAGCCUAAUUAAUGUAAUGUGUGUUUGCUGUAUUAAUUGAGAAGAUUUAGUUUUGCCACAAAACAAUGAAAUGAAUGCAUCCCUCAUGAUGUGUUAGGUACAGAUAAUGAAUGAUUGAGCAGCUUGAGGUGUACAGGUAGUGUUCAUAAGACUUGCUGCACAUGAACACAAAGGGUAAUCUGAAACAUGUGCUAACACUGGGUAGGCUAAAUUAAAUCCCAACAAUUUUUAUAACCAAAAAAGAAGCAAAAAUCUGUUUUAGAAUAUACCAAGUAUCCAUGAACUGUGUACUGUUUUAAAAUAAUUACUAUUAUUAUAGUUGAACAUGGGCAUGAUGGCACAUGCCUAUAAUCACAGAGCCUGGAAGGCUGAGGCAGAAAAAUUACUGUGAGUUACAAGUCAACCUGGGCUACACAGUGAGUUCAAGAUCAGCUUGAACUAGCAAGACCUUGUCUCAAAACAAAUUACUAUAAAGAAAGUCACUAUUCUAUAGCUUUGAUUUGUAAGAAUACUAAAAAAAGAACUUUUUUAUUACAAUCUACCAUAAAAUUGAUUUUGUUAUACAUAAUCUGUACAACAUAGGGCAUGUUAUUAUAGCCAGUGCAAAUACGAUUACUUACACUCCAAAAAACUUGAAAAGGCAAUCCUGGUAUGUACUCUCAAAGACGACAGAGUCAUAUUUGGCUAACUUGCUAAAUCUGAUUCAGAUUAUGAAUAACCACAUUUGAAAGAGAUUCCUGGUGUUUCUGUUCAUUGCCAGCUGUCCAGAAUCCUCUGGGCAUUUAUAUCAGAUGACUUACAAGUGAGGCAGAAUUAAUGUUUAUUGACCAUGGUUAUUCAGAAUUCCCUCCGAUUGGUAUUAGCUCCACUGUUUCUCCUCCCAUCCAUUUAUAGAUAAAACAUACAGUAAACCAAAGCAUGUUCAUUCUGGUAAAAUUUGAAAGAGGAAAACAGUUUUGGCCAGUGGCCACAUAAGCUGGAAAAAAUUGGCACACUUCUCAUUUUUGAUAGAAACUGAAUUGCAACUUUAAAUUCCCAACUGUAAUUGUUUUGCCAUUCAUCUAAAGUCUGAAACAAAUUACAGUUUUAUAUUUGUAACAUUUUACCCAGAAAAACUGGGAAUUGUAUUAUAAAAGCUAUUCAUAUCUAAAUUUACAUUGGUAGUUUCUGGAAAUAUGUUAUAUUCAUACUAAAGGAAAAGAGUAGAUAACGCACAUACAUGCUCACACACACACACACACACACACACACAAAUAUAUAUAAUAUGUAUUUCAGAAAAAAUUUUGUUAAAAUACAUAGAAAGAUUACCUUCAUAUUUAUAAUAUUGGAUGACCUGGACUUUCAGUGUACAAACAUGAAACAAACUUUUUCAUGCUACCCUUUCUGUGGCACUCUGCUACCCUGUCCCAGGAUGAAAAUGUAAGCAACAUUUUAUGUUUUUUCUGAUCAUUCUCAAAUAUCAGAAAGAAUUACUCGGCUAUUUUAGUCUGCAUUUUAGAGUCAAAAUAUGAUGUCAGAAUUUCAUUCUGGUUAUAGAUUUCUGGCAUCUUUCGCUACUCUUUCUCCAGUUGUGUUGCAACAUGAUGUGAGUGGCCUCGGGGACAGAGACAGGAGGAAGAGCAUGUUGCUUCUUUUUCUGUGGGUUGCUCCAGCUCCACUGAUCAGCUGCUGCCUUUACAUAGGUCUGGAGUUUGAGGAAGGAGAGGAUCAAAUGGAAGCAGGUUAAGAGAAAAGUCUUAACUAAAUUUGUACUGUCUUCAUGGCUAAACAUUGGAACUUUGUGGGCUCAGUAGAUGUUUAAAGUCAACUCUUACUCCUGAGCAUUCUCAGAGCUUCUUCCCUGACCUACUCCCCUCAGCCUGAGAAGAGAUAACGCAUCUCUGGUCCUACCAGACCUUCAUUUAUUUGGCUUCUUUCUACAAAGACUGUUCCCCACACACAGCACAACCUCAGAAGAUCCCAUGCUGGCUUUGUUAAGCAUCUGGCCCACAUUUGGUACAUUGGAAAGGCACAUUAUUUGCCCACAGACUCUGGGAAUGAUGUUUUACUGCUGGAAUUCAGGAAAACCAGAAAUCCUAUUAUGCAGUGUCCACUGUAAACACCCUCAUUACCCUGUCUUAUCCCUUCCCUCUGAACAACCAAUAACCAUCCUGGUACUUUCCAUUUUCCAGAUGUGAAGUAAACACUCCCACAUCCCUCAGUGCUUAAGUUCUCCCAACUUUCUCCCCUCUGCAGAGGGAUGGGGGUGUCAUCUCUUCCUCCAUGAGCAGGAAGGUGAGCUAACAGCACAAUAGUGACCCCCAGAAGUACCUUCUCUGACCUCUAUUUCUCAACCAUUUUAAACUUUCAAAACAGCUAAAGUGGUGUAUAUCCUUGCAAAUAAUUUUCCUCUAUUUUUCAUGCAAGUCCUACCAAAUGAUCUGUAUCCCCACUUUUAAAUAUUGUGCUUACUCUUAAGAUCCUUCCACAGUAAAUUCUGUGGUGUAUUGAAGUGAAAUGUUUCAUAUGUAUAUAUAAAACUAUUUUGAGAUAAUUGUAGAUUCUCAUACAGUUAUAAAAUACAGAGCGAUCCCAUGAGUCCUUUAGUCAAUUUUCUGUAUGAUAAUGGCUUGCAAAACUCUAGUACAAUGUCACUACCAGGAUGUUGACAUUGAUAGAGUAUUUCCAUCACCAAAAGAAUACCAAAAUUUCCUCCUUCUCUUUCCCUCUUCUUGUCACCUAACAACACCUAAUCCUUUCUCCAUAUUUAUAAUUAUGUAAUUUCAAAAAAUGUAGUGUAAAUGGAAUAAUACAAUAGUCUUUGGGAGUUAUCUUUUUUAUGCUCAGUAUGUUUCUCUGGAGAUUUACCCAGAUUGUUGCAUAUAUUGGUAGUUCAUUCUUUCCUUGAAGUUAAGCAUUAUUUCUUAGUAUGGAUUUGCCAGUUUUUGGUAUGACCUAUGUGGCUCUUGAACUUUUUAGGGUGAAGGACCAUGAGAAGAUGAGACAUUUUUUAAAAAGAUGAAAGUUGGAAUCAGACUGAGCCCUUACUCUCUGGAUGAGAGGAAAGAAAUUACCCCCUCACUAAGGGCAUUUAUUUAUACACAUUGUUACGUGGCACCUCUUUGCCUAGCAACCCAUUGCUUGGAUUGUCCAGGGGCUUGGUGCUUCUCUGAGCUGAAGCAACUUCUUCACAUGGCUUGCCCCAGGCGCUCAUUGUUCUUGGGAUGGUCAUGCCCCGGCCCUGCAUAAUCAAUUUCUAGCUUCCACAGCUCCCUACAAGUUUUUCUAGACAUCCAGUUUUAAUACUGUGAAUAAAGCUAUUAUAAGUAUUCAUUUAUAGGUAUGUGAAUAUAGGUCUUCAUUCCUUUAGACUAGACAGCCAGGGUCAUAUAGUAAUUGUGUGUAAUUUUUAAAGAAACUGCCAUACUGUUUUAAAGAGCACCUAUAUCACGAUAUAUUUUCCCCAACAAUGCAUAAGUAAUCUAUGUUCUCUGCAUCUUUGGCAGUAUUUAGUAUCGUCUUGUGCAAGUAAGCAUAUGAGAGAAAGAGAGAGAGAGAAAAACAGAGAGACAGAGACAAGAGACACAGGGAUAAACAGCUGAGCUCAAGGCCUUUGUACUGAGCUACAUCCCCAGUCCUUAUUUUGAGAUAGUCUCACUGACACGAGGUCACUAAGUUGUCCAGACUGGGCUCAAACUUGUGAUCUUCCUGGCUUGGCACCCCCAGAGUACAUAUCUCUAUUUUGAAUGUACCCCUUCUGAUUAAAGUGACAUCUUAUUUUGGCUCUAAUUUGCAUUUCCCUAGUGAAUAAUGAUAGCAUACAUCAUCUCAUAUGUUUGUUUGUCCUUGCUAUAUCUUUUAUUUGUAGAAUGUCUCUUUAAUGUCUUUUGCUCAUUUUUUAACAGAAUUAUUUGGAUGUGCUUUUACUAUUCAGUUUUGAGAUUAAAAAAAAAUAAUUCAGGUUAGAUAUAUUUAAGAGUAAUAGAGGCUUGAAUUAUAUUGGUUUAAAUACAUGUGAUGAGUGGACAAGUGGUGGUUGACUUGUAACAUACAGCUGCACUGAAUCAGGUGGGUGUGGAAGACCCACCUGAGAAUUGUUGCCAACAGCAAAAAAAAAAAAAGGAGACCUGGAAAGGAAGAGGUGGUUCCAUUGGUUCUUUAGAGGAGAUUGUCGUGCUGGCUUUCCUGACAUGAACUUGGCUGUUUUCAUCACUGGAAGAGCUCAGGAUCUUGUUGUCACUGAGAAUGGCUGUGGUGCACUUUGUGGUCUACUUUGAACCAGAGCUCCUUUGCCCUAUAAGGGAAGAUAGUGUGCUGCUCAACCUCCCUGUCACCUGGCUUUCAUGAUAUGAACUUGGCUGUUAUCAUCGGAGGAGCUUGGAACUUCACUGUCACUAAGAUGACUGUGGUGUUUUCAGGGGAGCUCUGGUCCUUACCUUCCGCAUUGCCUUCGGGCUAUAGUGCAGAACCCUCAGCCUACUGGCACAGAUCCUUCAUCCUGCUGGCCCAGACCUUCUGGCUUUCACCACUGACCUUUGGGCCUUCCCAAAGCAGACCUGUGAAACAGACUUGCAUGAGACGUUGCCAUGGGCUUUAGGCCUCUAGUUGGACUCAUAGCGGGCACUGUCAUGGGCUCUAGGUCUUUAGCUGGACUCAUGCAGGGCAUUGUCAUGGGAUUCUUUGGGUCUUUACUGUGUGGAAAGAUUUCCUGCACUUUUUAGUAUUUGACUCUUUGGGUAACUACUAUAAAAUAAGCCUAUAAAUUAUAUGCUCUGUAUUAAAUUAUUUUCCUUGCAAUCCCUGACUACAAAAAUACCAGAGAAUUUAUUCUCCGAUAUGCAUUUUUUUUUUUUUUUUUUUUUUGGUACCGGGGAUAGACCCAGUAUCCCGAACUUGCACUUGCCAAGCAGUCGCUUAUGCCACUGAGCUAAAUCCCCAGCCUAUUUCCCUAUAUGAAAAUCUCAUUACUCAGCAUUUCAGGGGGCUCACUGCAGUGUCCAGAAACACAGACCCUUUUCUUCUCCAAGAUUGUUCUAAUUUUUUAUCACCUAACUUAAUAUGUGAAAUAAGACAACUUCAAAGUUAAUGUGACCUGAAUAUACUUUUCUUUCCAAGUUAUUUUAUAUUGUAAUCAUCAUCCUAUAAUGAUUUGAUUAGUUCUAUAAUAUGCAAUAUGUAUUUAAUGUGCGUGAAGAUGGGGACAACUAUUUGUAAAAAACUAGAGACAAUUAGAUAAACAGUGAAGAUCUCCAGUGGACUUGCUUUGAAAUCUGUAUUUCUUUAAAAUGUUUUUUUAACUGUUUUGUUCUAUUUUGAUGUUUAAUCUUACCUUCUGAGAUAUAAAACAAGUGUGUAGGACUGAUAACCAUAUUACUGAGUUUUUGUUCGAUCAUUGAGCAGAACUGUUUGCAGUGUCACUUUUUGAAUGUCAUUUUACAUACUUUAAUUUUGUAACCUGAACAGCUAUUUCUAAGAUGACAAUAUGUAACUUAUCAACUAGCGAUUUCUUACCGUUUAUUUUUCUGUAAUCUUGUAUUAUUUCUACCCUUUUUUAUCUCCAUGUAUUUUUUUGUUUCCUUUUCUUUAAAUAAAAAAAAAAAUUUCCUGAGGACUCUAACAGCAACUAAAAGUUGUGCUCAGAUGAAAUAAAAUGCCCCCUUUCAAUUUAUCAUUUUCACCCAGCUCAGAAAUAAUGGGAUAAUUAACUUUAUUAGUCUCUUUUUAUUCUAUAUAUCCUGAUAUUUGACAAGUAUAUAUUAUAAUGCAUACAGAAUAGUUUUAUGGUCUACCUAUUUUAUAAAUAUUCCCUAUGGGCUUUAUAAAAUAAACAGCAAUACACAACAUAUACAUAGCACUUUCUAUUGGCCAUAAAUUGAGUCCAAGGCCCAAAGGUCACACUACAAGUAGAAAAAAAAAACAUUCAGAGCCAAGAUCUCUGUGACUCUCAAUUCUGUGCUUUUACCACACGGCUGACUUUCUCUGAUAAGGUCACUUUUUUAAAAAAACUAAUAUCUAUCACUUCUGUUUUUCUAAUUACCUUUAGCUUCCAGGUGACUGCCAGAGCUCCAGUUAUUACAAUUGUAUUCCAGACAGAAACAAGAGGGAAAGAAACAGGACAAAUAGGAAAUAGGAGAAUUCUUUGAAGUCUUACUUAGCGUAUCUUCUUACUUCAUUGUUCGAUGGAGAAGUGAUAAAAAAACUAUUGUAAUUGCAAGUCAGGCCUUCUUUCCGUAUCACUUAUGAUCUUUGACAACUCAUGGCCAUAUACUCUUUUCUUCCUUCUUCAAAUACAAAUAAAUUAUAUAUACAUUUCUAUAGUCAUUAUACAACAUUUUAAAGGGUUCAGAAAUGUAAAUAUAGCCAGUGAAAAUUUCCCUACUUGAAUUUUCCAGAAAUAACCAUGCAAAUUUAAAUUCAAGUAGUAGCUGAGGAAAGAGAAAGAGGACUAGUAGAAAAGAACAAAAAAAAAAAGAAGAUAAGAAACCUAAAUUGUGAAAAAAAAGAACAAGGAGAACAUAAAAGAAAAACAGAGGAAAAAAGAAAAACCCCAAAGAGAAAAUAACCACAAAAUACUAAACAAAACAAGAGGACAUCCAACCAGACAGGAAAAGGAUAGUCAGUCAGACAAACAAGGGAAAACAAAAGUAGUAAAAUAGCUCUGAUGUUUAGAGUUCUGUGGUAGUGUCCGUGUCAGAUCCCAGAAAUGUGCUGCUUGCCAUGAGGUCCAGUUUGCCGUGGGGACCGAGCUGGGUGUGGAGCUGGUCUUGGGCUCUACAUGCGGGGGCUGGGACUGGUCUUCUGUCGGAGGAGAUCUCCAGAGCCUAACUGCUGGCUCCUCGAGCUUCAGAGGCUCCCAGGUUGCUCAUCUUGCUGAUCACUUCAUCCUCAAAAGGCAUGUGUGCACCAGUCUGCAUGGGGUGAGCUGUCCUGGGUGCUGGUGUUCCCGUCACUCUGCCCACCAAAGGCACGUGUCAGGGAUUUUUCUUUUAGUAUUUAGCUAUUAAUAGAUUCACUAUUUUUAAUGAUGCUAAUUAAUUAAAGGAACAAAAAACUGCAUUCUGGUAUCUGAUUCAUUCAAUGCAUGCUACAUAGUCAUGUCUUUUAUUCAUGUUGUACAAAUGAAGUACACAGAUUUAAUGUGGAGUAAAAUAUGCCUCAAUCACAAGUUUAUUUUCACUGCAGAAUGAUGGUAAUGAUGCCAUUAUUGUAUUUCAGCAAGCUCCAAAAACUAAACUUGUAUCAUCGGCUUCACUAGUAAUUGUAUGACUUCUCCUGUACAAGUCCAGACAUGUCUUCACGGCUUUUUUUCUUGUUUUAUAAAAAGGACAUAACACAAGCUUACCUCACUAAGAUGCUAUGUAAAAUAUUUUCUAUUUAUUACCAAGUACUGUAUGAUUUUUAUGUCUAUAUUGGUGUGGAACAACACAUUCAUGACAUGGUGGUAUCAAAAGACUUUGUGCCAUGAAAAAUGCUACAUUCUUGGAGACACUUUUAGAAGGGUUACACCAUGUAAGUCAGAUUGACUUUUGAUAUUGUGUUGCACUUAACUCCAGAAAUAAAUUUAGAACUUAGUUAAGCUGUAAAAUUGUUCCAAAUCAUUUUAAUCAUAUUUCAAAUAUGACUUUUAAGCAACUUAAAGAAGCUUCAAAAUUUUAGUAGAAAAUCAGUGAUGCAUGAAUUUUAAAUGUAUAAAUAUACAAAGUUUAUGUGUGUCCAUAUUGUGUAAAUAGGGUAUUUGAUAUGUACUAUAUAAAUAAGGUAUUACAGACAUUACUUAUUUGAAAUGAAAACCUUUCUGAUAUUGAUAUUUAUUACACUACAAGUUCUAUCAAUAAAAUGAUAGAACUGGAACAAGGCUUAUUAAUUUAUCCAACAUACAACUGCUCCUGCAAGAAUCCUAUUCAUCUUUUUCAAAGACAUUGGAACUUGAAAUAUAUAUGGUUUGAUAUGAUUCCUUAGAGUUUUUAAAGAUUUAAAAACGCCAAAAGAGACUUAUAUUUACUUUACUAUGACUAGCAGUAAUAUUCUAUUUGAACAGAAUUCAAGCUGGGGAUUUAGCUCAGCAGCAUAAGUACCUGCUUGGCAAGCAUGAGGUCAUGAGUUCAAUCCCCUACACCAAAAAAAAAAAAAAAAAGAAGAAGAAAAUAAAGAAUAAUUUUUAAAUCAGUAGUGUGACUAUUGGAGCUGUAGACAAACUCAAAAAAGGUCAGACUCCAAGACAGCAAGUUAUGUUGAGAAUGUCAAGUAAAUAGGGAUAAUGCUUCAGGUUAAUUUCUCUUUCUUAAAACUUUUUGUGGUACUAAGGAUUAAACCCAGAGCCUCUGGGUCCUAUUGCUCUUGAAUUACAAUGUCAAGCCUUUUUAUUAUUAUUAUUAUUAUUUGUCUUUUUUCCUUUUUAUCAGUACCAGGGAUCAAACUCACUACUGCCUGCUUGCGAGGCAGGCGCUUAUGCCACUGAGCUAAACCUCCAGCCCCCAAGCCUUUUUAUUUUUUAAGGUAGGAUCUCACUAAGCUGUCCAGGCCAUCCUCAAACUUGUGAUCCUGUUGCCUUGGCCUUGCAAAUAGCUGGGAUUGUAUGUGCCACCACAUAGGCCCCAUGCUAAUUACAAUAGCAUAUAAUGAGAUAGAUGAGCUCUCAGAAACCUAUAAAAAUAAUCACUUCAAUGAUUCUUUAAAGAUGAAAAGGAAUGUCAGUAAAAAUUUGGUUAACAAGUUAUAGCUAUAAAACAUAAUACUAAGAAAAAAUAGAAACAAUAAAAUUAUAUUUCUCUUUACUGACAAAAGAACUAUAACUACUAUAUACUGAACAUGUAUUAUUCAGUUCUAUAAGUUUUUAUAAUAUAAAAUUAUUUCUGCACAGUUUUACAUAGGACACAUGUAUAUCAAAAUGUUAAUCAUUCUAGCAGUAGUAUUUGAUGAACUUUUCUUGUUUUCUUUUCUGUGUAUUGUUGCUAUUCUGUUAAAUUUGGUGUACUGUUUUGUUUGUUUGGAGAAGCCUAACCUGUCCUUUUUACUAAACAAAACCACAUAAAGUUUUGUCUUUCAUUUUAAA